CUGGCGGCGUGCCUAACACAUGCAAGUCGAACGGAGAUUACGCGCUGAUGAAGCUUCGGCAGAAUCUUGUGUAAUCUUAGUGGCGGACGGGUGAGUAACGCGUGGGCAACCUGCCUCAUACUGGGGGAUAGCAGUUGGAAACGACUGAUAAUACCGCAUAAGCGCACAGCAUCGCAUGAUGCAGUGUGAAAAACUCCGGUGGUAUGAGAUGGGCCCGCGUCAGAUUAGCUAGUUGGUAAGGUAACGGCUUACCAAGGCGACGAUCUGUAGCCGGACUGAGAGGUCGGACGGCCACAUUGGGACUGAGACACGGCCCAAACUCCUACGGGAGGCAGCAGUGGGGGAUAUUGCACAAUGGAGGAAACUCUGAUGCAGCGACGCCGCGUGAGUGAAGAAGUAUUUCGGUAUGUAAAGCUCUAUCAGCAGGGAAGAAAGGCUCGCAAGAGAGAUGACGGUACCUGACUAAGAAGCCCCGGCUAACUACGUGCCAGCCGCCGC
rnacentral:rRNA from 1 species